rnacentral:lncRNA from 1 species
GGGUGGGCCGUCAUGACAUACAGUACAUCUAGGUGGACCGUCAUGACCACAGUACAUCUAGGUGGGCCGUCAUGACAUACAGUACAUCUAGGUGGGCUGUCAUGACAUACAGUACAUCUAGGUGGGCCGUCAUGACAUACAGUACAUCUAGGUGGGCCGUCGUGACAUACAGUACAUCUAGGUGGGCCGUCGUGACAUACAGUACAUCUAGGUGGGCCGUCGUGACAUACAGUACAUCUAGGUGGGCCGUCGUGACGUCACAGUACAUCUAG